UACGGAGGGUGCGAGCGUUGUCCGGAAUCAUUGGGCGUAAAGGGCGCGUAGGUGGCGGGACAAGCGUGCGGUGAAAGCUUGGGGCUCAACCCCGAGUCGGCCGUGCGAACUGUCUUGCUUGAGCACUGUAGAGGCAGGCGGAAUUCCGGGUGUAGCGGUGGAAUGCGUAGAGAUCCGGAAGAACACCGGUGGCGAAGGCGGCCUGCUGGGCAGUAGCUGACACUGAGGCGCGACAGCGUGGGGAGCAAGACGG
rnacentral:rRNA from 1 species